rnacentral:rRNA from 1 species
CCUACGGGGGGCAGCAGUGAGGAAUAUUGGUCAAUGGCCGAGAGGCUGAACCAGCCAAGUCGCGUGAGGGAAGAAUGUCCUAUGGAUUGUAAACCUCUUUUGUCAGGGAGCAAAGUCACCCACGUGUGGGUGUUGGAGAGUACCCGGAGAAAAAGCAUCGGCUAACUCCGUGCCAGCAGCCGCGGUAAUACGGAGGAUGCGAGCGUUAUCCGGAUUUAUUGGGGUGAAAGGGUGCGUAGGCGGGCAUUUAAGCCGGCGGUCAAAUGGAGGGACUCAACCCCGGCCGGCCGUCGGAACUGGGUGCCUUGAGUGGGCGAGAAGUAUGCGGAAUGCGUGGUGUAGCGGUGAAAUGCAUAGAUAUCACGCAGAACCCCGAUUGCGAAGGCAGCAUACCGGCGCCCUACUGACGCUGAGGCACGAAAGUGCGGGUAUCGAACAGGAUUAGAUACCCGAGUAGUC